GAUGAGAUCCGAUUCGAGCCUUCCUGGUUGCGAGAGAUGGGAGUGUAGCCCAACGAGGAAAUGGGCAACGGAGACUCUGCAUGGACGAUCCCGCCUAGCUUUGCCCUCCGGCGAUCCUGAAGUGUAGGAUCUCGGCAUUCCGCCGGACAUGGCUGGGAUGGAAAUCCCGUUAAAAUUGCAGGCGUCCUUUUCCUUGGAAGCCUCGGAAAUGCCCGUCGGCACUGCAACACCAUGUCAGCCCCCGGCCGCAGCCUGCAAGGGAAUAAAAGUAAACCCAUUCUCUCUGAAUGGAAAAGUGCGCAGCUCUGAAGAUCGGUUUGCCUAACCUGCCCACUUCCGAACAGGUUGAACUUCAUUUCCCAUAGUGUCCCAGGCCGACCCAGGAAUUAUGGGAGUUGAAGUGCAACGGAUCAGGCACAAAGGGUUGACUUCAUUAGACGAUGCCUCUGGCCGAAUAGGCUUCGCUUGCCGCCUUCGUUAGAGCAGGAUAACAGCCACGGACCCCACCUAUAUAGAUCUCUGAUAGGCACUUUGUGCUGAUUUGACGAAAAAUUAAAAAAAAAAAAUCUUUACCAAGUCAUCUUUCUGUGCAGUUUUCAGAAGAUGCAAUCAUGCUGAUCUCAUUCCCUGGAAUAGCUGCAAAAAAUAUAGAUCUUUAGCCUUAAACUGUUCAUUUUCUCCAAAGCAAAUGUUUAAAGCAAGAGUAUGGACCAGAUGUAGAAAAGCUGAAUGGCUCUCCAGAGACUGCUGAAUAACUUCUCCCAUCAUUUUGGCCAUUGGCCAUGUGGUCUUUUAUUAACAAAAACUGGAAUUCAGGAAUUGGCCAAUUUAGUCAUCCACUUUUUAUAAAUGUGUUUUUAAAAACCUUCAUUGCAGACUUAAACAAAUGCAGUAAAUUAAAGAUGCUAUCUAAGGCUCUGAAAAACAGCAGUGUGUAGAAAAACUCAAAACACCAAAUUAAUUAUUGGGAGUGAUUAACUUUACCACCUUGAAUGGAAAAAAUCAAUUCAUCUAAUUAUUUCAAAUACUAAACCAUAGUUUGAAUGGAGCCCUUUCCAUCUCUGAGAACUGCAAUUAUUAUUCCAAUUCUUCUGUACAAAAAAUGCCCAUAGCAUGGGCAUAAAGAUCAAUGAAUGCACACAUAUAUGGAACUCCUGACCUAGCAACUAGUACAUGUUUGAAACUGAAGUGGUCUUAAUACAUGUCUUAAAGACCUUGGUGCAAAGCAGAAUGCUGGUGUUUAUUUAGCUGCAGAGUGCAUGCUGCAUUAGGAGUAUGUUUUGAUAUUAGUUACCUUUAAAUUUAGUUUAAUGUAAUGGUUACAAAUACAAGGCUAGGAGUGAGGAUUCUUACAUCCUAGAACCUUAGAUUUCAGUUAGCCAAAAGGGGGGGGGUGGCUUUAAUGUAGGGUCAAUGAAAAAAGAAUUGAGUGGCAAAUUCAAAAUAAGCUCUGUCUUGAUUUCUCAAAGGCUGUUGUCCAUUCAUGUACAGUAUACUUAAUACCCAUUCACCAGAUCAUCAAGGUGAUCAUCAGAAGAGACUGGCAAUGUUGCUUGCAGAUUAUUUUACUUCAACCGAGUACAGUAGCAGAGUCUGAAGUGGGAAGUAGUGAAAGGCUUAAGGUCUUAAUUCUGGCAGCCCUGCUCAUGAUUGCUGUGCUCUGUCCCUGGUAGCAAAUAAGACUGAUUGCCAUUGAAAGUGGUGGUGCCAUAGGCAUCUGCUCUUAGAUACAAUGAUUUAACAGUGGGGACAUCAAAAUGCAAAGCCCACCCUUUCAAAUCACGUCCAAAUAUCAUUUAUAUAUACAUAAAUCAAAUAAAUAGUAUUUGAGCCAUGAUAUAAUGACACAUUUAAUCACUAGCCAUGUCCAAUAUGGAUCCCUGUGGGUGAGGUGAUAUUGUGGGUCUUCAGAUUCCAUGAUUUAUGGCUUCAAAUUGUUUACUCUUCUGUUAAAAACCAUACUUAGUUCGUACAGGCUGCUGUACAUAUACACUAUUUGUUUCCACUUCUGACAGUUAAGGGAUAGGCAAGAAGCCCUACUGCUGUUAAAACCAAGGCUUCAAAAAAAAACCAAAAAGAUACAAAAGAAGCCUCUAGUUCUUUCUAUCAUUCUGUUGGUUUUAUUGGUAUUCAUCUGAGUGUUAGGUUGAAGCUAAGGAGACCCAGUUCAAAUCCCUUUGUCUCUAUGAUAACUAAUCUUGGGACAGUCUUUGUCAAGCUAACAUUUUGUGGAACAGUUCUGAGAAUUUGUUAUCCCACCAGAAGUAAAUGUAUUAAAAGAUGUGAUGUGGAUUGAGAUCCUUAGCAUGCAGAACUGAGCAUCUGGUGUCAGAUUCUGCAUCAUACAGAAGUAAAAUGGAUAGAUGUUGCUGUAAUGAUUCCUGUUAAAUACAUGAUUUAAUACUGUUUACUUUUUUUUUUUUUCCUGAGGCAAGAAUAGUGCUUGGUCUUUGAGUACCAAGACAAGGACCUCACUCCAAAAAGUAGUGGUUGGACCAGUCUAAAGCAAAGAUUGAUACCAAAUUAUUUACAUUUAAAUGAACAUUGCCCUCCAAAUAUACAGGAGUUGAAGCUUCAAGAAUUUCCAACCAGCCUGUGCAUUAAAAAUGUUUCAUUUCCAAAUCCUGUGACAUGCAUGAGAGGAUUUCCCUAAUAAAUACUAAGUAUGACUCGACUGCCUGUUUUUCAGAUUCACAAUAAAGCACUAACAUGAACCAGA